rnacentral:sRNA from 1 species
UCCCUUCUCUUUUAGGGCCUCCACUACU